CUUGGUCAUUUAGAGGAAGUAAAAGUCGUAACAAGGUUUCCGUAGGUGAACCUGCGGAAGGAUCAUUAUGCAUUCAUGGGAUACCACAUGGUUCCCUGACCCGAAUCCUCCCUGUGUACCUAUCCAUGUUGCUUUCCCAGGUGGUCGGUCGGUCAUGGUGGUCGACCAACUUUACCACUCGGUCCCUGGGAGAGGGACUAUCCAAAGCGAAUAAUUCAAUCAGCUGUCUGAGUUGGCCGAGUGCCGUAUUCUUUGAACAAGUUAAAACUUUCAACAACGGAUCUCUUGGCUCUCGCAUCGAUGAAGAACGCAGCGAAAUGCGAUAAGUAAUGUGAAUUGCAGAAUUCAGUGAAUCAUCGAAUCUUUGAACGCACAUUGCGCCCCUCGGUAUUCCUUGGGGCAUGCCUGUUCGAGCGUCACUGAAAACCCCCUCAUAGAUAUUAUGGUACUGACGGAAGUGAGCCAAGGUUACAGAAUGUGCCCGGAUCACCCCGUUGAAAUGCAUGGGCAGGACAAUCAACUUAGGCAACGGACUUAGUAACUGUUUUAAGGACAUAAGCCAGUCCCUUGUCAGGUGGUGGCCUCGCCUCCAUGGACCUCCAUCCAAGACGAACUCUGGGUUGACCUCGGAUCAGGUAGGGAU
rnacentral:rRNA from 1 species